GAUGAACGCUAGCGGCAGGCCUAAUACAUGCAAGUCGAGGGGCAGCAGGUUCGAGUUUACUUGAACGCUGGCGACCGGCGCACGGGUGCGUGACGCGUAUGCAACCUACCCACUACAGGGGGAUAGCCAUUGGAAACAGUGAUUAAUACCCCAUAAUGCAUUGAUCUCACCUGGGAUUAUUAGCUAAAGAUUUAUCGGUAGUGGAUGGGCAUGCGUAAGAUUAGCUAGUUGGUAGUGUAAUAGACUACCAAGGCGACGAUCUUUAGCGGGUCUGAGAGGAUGAUCCGCCACACUGGUACUGAGACACGGACCAGACUCCUACGGGAGGCAGCAGUAGGGAAUAUUGGUCAAUGGGGGCAACCCUGAACCAGCCAUGCCGCGUGCAGGAAGACAGCCUUCUGGGUUGUAAACUGCUUUUAUCAGGGGGGAAUUACCGGGAUGCGUCCCGGGGUUGACAGUACCUGAUGAAUAAGCACCGGCUAACUCCGUGCCAGCAGCCGCGGUAAUACGGAGGGUGCGAGCGUUGUCCGGAUUUAUUGGGUUUAAAGGGUGCGUAGGCGGGACAAUAAGUCAGUGGUGAAAGUCCACCGCUCAACGGUGGGAUUGCCAUUGAUACUGUUGUUCUUGAGUAGAGUCGAGGUAGGCGGAAUUUAUGGUGUAGCGGUGAAAUGCAUAGAUACCAUAAGGAACACCGACAGCGAAGGCAGCUUACUAGACUACUAACUGACGCUGAGGCACGAAAGCGUGGGUAGCGAACAGGAUUAGAUACCCUGGUAGUCCACGCCGUAAACGAUGAUUACUCGAUGUAUGCGAUAGAUAGUAUGCGUCCCAGCGAAAGCGAUAAGUAAUCCACCUGGGGAGUA
rnacentral:rRNA from 1 species